AUGCUUGCUUCGGCAGCACAUGUGCUGGAGUUGGAGCAUUGCAGAGAGGAUUAGCAUGGCCCCUGCACAAGGAUGACACACAAAUUCAUUAGGCAGUACAUAUUUUC